AGAAUCAACGCUGGCGGCGUGCCUAACACAUGCAAGUCGAACGAGAAAGUGGAGCAAUCCAUGAGUAAAGUGGCGCACGGGUGAGUAACACGUGACUAACCUACCCUUGAGUGGGGGAUAACCUAGGGAAACCUGGGCUAAUACCGCAUAAUACCUUCGGGUCAAAGGAGCAAUUCGCUUAAGCGAGGGGGUCGCGGCCGAUUAGUUAGUUGGCGGGGUAAUGGCCCACCAAGACGAUGAUCGGUAUCCGGCCUGAGAGGGCGCACGGACACACUGGAACUGAAACACGGUCCAGACUCCUACGGGAGGCAGCAGUGGGGAAUUUGCGCAAUGGGGGAAACCCUGACGCAGCAACGCCGCGUGGAGGAUGAAGUCCCUUGGGACGUAAACUCCUUUCGAUCGGGACGAUUAUGACGGUACCGGAAGAAGAACGCCCCGGCUAACUUCGUGCCAGCCAGCCGC
rnacentral:rRNA from 1 species